rnacentral:rRNA from 1 species
CCCUUAGAGUUUGAUCCUGGCUCAGAUUGAACGCUGGCGGCAUGCCUUACACAUGCAAGUCGAACGGCAGCACGGGGGCAACCCUGGUGGCGAGUGGCGAACGGGUGAGUAAUACAUCGGAACGUGUCCUGGAGUGGGGGAUAGCCCGGCGAAAGCCGGAUUAAUACCGCAUACGCUCUGAGGGGGAAAGUGGGGGAUCUUUCGGGACCUCGCGCUCAAGGGGCGGCCGAUGGCAGAUUAGCUAGUUGGUGGGGUAAAGGCCCACCAAGGCGACGAUCCGUAGCUGGUCUGAGAGGACGACCAGCCACACUGGAACUGAGACACGGUCCAGACUCCUACGGGAGGCAGCAGUGGGGAAUUUUGGACAAUGGGCGCAAGCCUGAUCCAGCCAUGCCGCGUGAGUGAAGAAGGCCUUCGGGUUGUAAAGCUCUUUCGGCGGGGACGAAAAGGUUCGUGCUAACACCACGGAUCCAUGACGGUACCCGUAGAAGAAGCACCGGCUAACUACGUGCCAGCAGCCGCGGUAAUACGUAGGGUGCAGGCGUUAAUCGGAAUUACUGGGCGUAAAGCGUGCGCAGGCGGUCUAUUAAGACAGGUGUGAAAUCCCCGGGCUUAACCUGGGAACUGCGCUUGUAACUGAUAGGCUUGAGUGUGGCAGAGGGGGGUGGAAUUCCACGUGUAGCAGUGAAAUGCGUAGAGAUGUGGAGGAACACCGAUGGCGGAGGCAGCCCCCUGGGCUAACACUGACGCUCAUGCACGAAAGCGUGGGGAGCAAACAGAUUAGAUACCCUGGUAGUCACGCCCUAACUAUGUCAACUGGUUGUCGGGGAAGCAAUCCUUGGUACGAAGCUAACGCGUGAAGUGACGGCUGGGGAGUA